rnacentral:lncRNA from 1 species
UCCCUCAUUCCCAGGCUUCUUGAAUCUGGACCAGCAAUACCUGCUCCUUUUUCUCUCCCAUUCCUCAAACUGACGUCGGUCCUAAGCUUCGCGUGGCAUGGUCUCAGCUGAUCCAUCUUUAUCUUUAUUUUGUGGAUCCAAAAAAAAGNGAAAUAGUUAUUUAUAGUGUUAUUUAUUAUGUUAUUCAUUUAUUGUAUAAAUAAAUAGUUAAACAUAUUUUUAAGUAU